UUGCUUUAGGGAUGAACUUAGUCCCUCACAUUGAUUUUUGUCCAUCUGAUUCACUUUGUCAGCAAGUCGUGUUCUUUUAGUCAGCUGCUGAUCAUUUUAGGAUGGAAAAUCU